UACGGAGGGAGCUAGCGUUGUUCGGAAUUACUGGGCGUAAAGGGCGCGUAGGCGGCGUGUCAAGUCAGGCGUGAAAGCCCCGGGCUCAACCUGGGAACCGCGCUUGAGACUGGCAUGCUCGAGUUCGGGAGAGGAUGGUGGAAUUCCCAGUGUAGAGGUGAAAUUCGUAGAUAUUGGGAAGAACACCGAUGGCGAAGGCAGCCAUCUGGACCGACACUGACGCUGAGGCGCGAAAGCAUGGGGAGCGAACAGG
rnacentral:rRNA from 1 species